CGAAAAUCAAAGCGAACGAAAACGUAAGCAUUUCUGUGUAAUUUUGCGUUCCACUAUCUUUUUUCUUUCGUACGCAUGCGAACACAAAUGUCAAAAUCAGUCACUUGUGUGUUUGCUAUCGUAUAAUAACAAUUAAGGAAAAUUGUUUUAACAUAAACAUUGCUUGAUUGAAAAUGGAAACAAAAAUCACGAAAAAAUCAUCAACUACACAGCUGCGGGCACUAGUAUAUGGAGGAGAAUCCUGUGUUCGCCAGAGGAGUGCCAUUUUUGGAAGCAGCAGAAGAAGUUUUAAAUCGGGGCGGAUUUGGGUAGUUCUGCAACCGGGCACCCACUUCUCUUCCAUCAUAUCCAAAAGAGCCCGAAAACUUCCUUCGACACACGAAAAUUGGCCACAAACCUUGAAAAAAUUAUUAUUAUUUUUUAUUAUUUCAAAAAUGUAAAAAUACAAUCAUACUUACUGGUUGUUAGGUACUUCAAAUAAAUUCGAAUCAUCUCUUAAAUGCCUCCGUGGCACAUUUUGAACCUCCUCCACAUCAUCCAUAAAAAAUAGGGCUACGGAAAUAUUCUUUUUUUUAUUUUCUAAGAGCACAAAUAGUUUGAACACAAUCACUAGAGUUUUUAUUUUGUUUGUUUAUUUACAAUUUGUUUGUUUACAACUGAAAUGUCAGUUGAGACAGAGCCACUGCUGCUUUUUCGCGUUUAAAUUAGACAUUUGGCGCUUUUUUGCCUUAUUUCGCGAUUAAUUUUUCCAAAAAAAUAUUUAGCAACACUGAAUCACGUAAGGCUAUGCGAAAGAAAGAACGAAUAUUAGUGGAACGCAUUCUUAUACGAAAGUGAGUGAGUAGCCUUCGUUCGCACAAAUUUUCUUUCGAGAUCGUGGAACAGGCUGUUAUUCAUAACUGGGCUACACACUUAAAUUAUUGAGACAAUUAAAAUUUUAUUUUGGUACCAAACAGUUUAUAUAGAAUUAUCAUAGGUGGUAGAUUCAGAUGGACGGAAAUGUACUAAAUGUUCAGACCUUCAAGCUUUUAUAUAUUAUUUUUUUCCUUUUUCGAAAAAAUAAUGGAAAAAUGUUUACCUUUCACACCAAAAAGUCUUUAAAAUCUUUAAUUUUAAUUUUUUUAUUUUGUCACAAGGACUUUAUUGUUCAUUAAUACAUUAUAUAAUUAUAUUAUUUUACGAAGCCAGUAAAAUGGUUGUCGUUAACAAUUUUAUUUGUGUAUAUGUAUGUACAGAUUUGAUCUUACCCAUUGCUAUAGAAAUUAUUUAAUACCACAUUAUUUAAUUACUUUGCAAAAAAUUUAAACCGCAAACGCUGAUUUUCUUGCUUUUCCGUAAUGCAAUACAUGCCAACACAGGGAAACCGCUAAUUACGUCGAAUUAAAAAGAAAUUUAUCAUCUUCCAAUAUUUUCAGGGCUGUCAGAAGAAUGUCCAACAUUUUCCGAGUACUUUUGCAGCACCACAAAUGAGUUUAUGUACAGCAACCUGCAGAAUAUUAUGACGUUAAGAGACGCUUUAAAAGGCAAAGCCCGAGAGACAGUUGAACUUUUAUUGGGAAGCUCUGCCAAGCAGCUCAUUACCUAAUGACGAUUUGAAUGUCCUAAUAAAUUUCGCCAUGAAAUAUAGCAUAAUUUUUAAAACAAAAACGCAGGAGGAGAACUUACUUAACACAACCUAUCUUCACUGAGUGAACUCAUGGCAAAAUUACCAAUAAACCGACAAAUGGGAUGGUUUCACCCCAUGUCUUUAUUUAAAUGAAUCGCCUUCUAUUUUAGAUUUCAGGGCAUGGUUGCAAACAUUACGACGAGUUGCUAACACUAAUCGCCGCCAACCAACACAGCCCAGCCACAAUAAUGCUUGUGUCGCCAUCAAUAAUUGUGUUAUGUGCGACGGGGUCUGUAGGUCAAUUACAAAAUAUGACGGUGCAAAUGUAACAAUGCUAGACAGGGGAAUUGCCAAAGACCUGAAACUCAACGGGAACAAGACACAAUUAUCCCUACAGUGGUUAAAUAAGCAUUCAAUGACGGAAGAUUCUGAAGUAGUGGAUCUAAUAAU